rnacentral:rRNA from 1 species
UGGGGAAUCUUGCACAAUGGGCGCAAGCCUGAUGCAGCAACGCCGCGUGGGUGAAGACGGCCCUUGGGUUGUAAAGCCCUUUCGGUGGGGAAGAAGGGUUUGCUGGUUAAUACCCAGUGGACUGGACGGUACCCAAAGAAGAAGCACCGGCUAAUUCCGUGCCAGCAGCCGCGGUAAUACGGAAGGUGCAAGCCUUGUUCGGAAUGACUGGGCGUAAAGCGCACGUAGGCGGGUUUGUAAGUCGACUGUGAAAGCCCCGGGCUCAACCCGGGAACGGCAGCCGAAACUGUGAAUCUUGAAUGCUCGAGAGGUCAGUGGAAUUCCUGGUGUAGGAGUGAAAUCCGUAGAUAUCAGGAGGAACAUCAGCGGCGAAGGCGGCUGGCUGGCGAGACAUUGACGCUGAGGUGCGAAAGCGUGGGGAGCAAACAG